rnacentral:tRNA from 1 species
GGAAGUGUUUGUCACCUGGUGGCGGCCUCGGUCUUCAAAACCGAUGUGCGGUGCGGCGACGCUCCGCAGGUGGGUUCGAUUCCCAUACACUUCCGCCA